rnacentral:rRNA from 1 species
UGGGGAAUAUUGCACAAUGGGCGAAAGCCUGAUGCAGCAACGCCGCGUGAGUGAUGAAGGCCUUCGGGUUGUAAAGCUCUGUCUUUUGGGACGAUAAUGACGGUACCAAAGGAGGAAGCCACGGCUAACUACGUGCCAGCAGCCGCGGUAAUACGUAGGUGGCAAGCGUUGUCCGGAUUUACUGGGCGUAAAGGAUGCGUAGGCGGAUUUUUAAGUGAGAUGUGAAAACCCUAAGCUUAACUUGGGGACUGCAUUUCAUACUGGAAAUCUAGAGUGCGGGAGAGGAGAAUGGAAUUCCUAGUGUAGCGGUGAAAUGCGUAGAGAUUAGGAAGAACACCAGUGGCGAAGGCGAUUCUCUGGACCGUAACUGACGCUGAGGCAUGAAAGCGUGGGUAGCAAACAGGAUUAGAUACCCUGGUAGUCCACGCCGUAAACGAUGAGUACUAGGUGUAGGAGGUAUCGACCCCUUCUGUGCCGCAGUUAACACAAUAAGUACUCCGCCUGGGAAGUACGAUCGCAAGAUUAAAAACUUAAAUGAAUUGACGGGGUCAUAGCUGUUUCCU